rnacentral:rRNA from 1 species
CAGAUGUGAAAGACCCGGGGCGUCAACCUACCGGAAUUGCAUUUGUAAACUAGGCAAACUAGAGUACUGUAGAGGGGGGUAGGAAUUUCAGGUGUAACGGUGAAAAUGCGUAGAGAUCUGAAGGAAUACCGGUGGCGAAGGCGGCCCCCUCGGACAGAUACUGACACUCAGAUGCGAAAGCGUGGGGAGCAAACAGGAUUAGAUACCCUGGUAG